AUGGCAACCAGGCAACACACACGCGCGGCACACUUCCUCUGUGAAGUUAUCACGCUCUUCAGUGCUCGUUGUGGUGAUGAAUGGAAGACGUGCCUCUAUUGGACAGUAGACCUGCUUGUCCCUGCAUGAAACCUGAGAUUCAAUUGGACUGGGUCCUGCAGUGAAAUUAGAAAGAAGCAGAGAGGAGGUGGGAGGGGCAGAGGGGAUGUCCCACACGGGACAGUUGUGAAGGAUCUUUUGCUCUCAGCAUCAGUGACCCUCUGUGCCAUUACAGUUACAGGGAGAUAACAUGGCUUCUCUAAGGCAGUCAGGCCGAUCGUCUGUGGACAUAGCUAAUGUGAUGCAAAGACUGCAGGAUGAUUCCUGCCACAGUCACCUCUGAUGGAAACAAAAACUAAUCACUUCCUUUGUAGCAGAGGUCUUUUCCUGGGUUGGACCUAUCUGAUAUGGAGAGUUUGGGAAAGGAAAAAUAAAAGAUGUUAUGA